rnacentral:rRNA from 1 species
AACGAACGCUGGCGGCAUGCCUAACACAUGCAAGUCGAACGAGACCUUCGGGUCUAGUGGCGCACGGGUGCGUAACGCGUGGGAAUCUGCCCUUGGGUUCGGAAUAACUCGCCGAAAGGCGUGCUAAUACCGGAUGAUGUCGUAAGACCAAAGAUUUAUCGCCCAGGGAUGAGCCCGCGUAAGAUUAGGUAGUUGGUGAGGUAAAGGCUCACCAAGCCGACGAUCUUUAGCUGGUCUGAGAGGAUGAUCAGCCACACUGGGACUGAGACACGGCCCAGACUCCUACGGGAGGCAGCAGUGGGGAAUAUUGGACAAUGGGCGAAAGCCUGAUCCAGCAAUGCCGCGUGAGUGAUGAAGGCCUUAGGGUUGUAAAGCUCUUUUACCCGGGAUGAUAAUGACAGUACCGGGAGAAUAAGCUCCGGCUAACUCCGUGCCAGCAGCCGCGGUAAUACGGAGGGAGCUAGCGUUGUUCGGAAUUACUGGGCGUAAAGCGCACGUAGGCGGCUUUGUAAGUCAGAGGUGAAAGCCUGGAGCUCAACUCCAGAACUGCCUUUGAGACUGCAUCGCUUGAAUCCAGGAGAGGUGAGUGGAAUUCCGAGUGUAGAGGUGAAAUUCGUAGAUAUUCGGAAGAACACCAGUGGCGAAGGCGGCUCACUGGACUGGUAUUGACGCUGAGGUGCGAAAGCGUGGGGAGCAAACAGG